CUCCUGGUUCAAGCGAUUCUCCUGCCUCGGCUUCCUGAGUAGCUGGGAUUACAGAAGAACAAAAUAGUGUAUAGACAGUGACACUUCAAAUACAUUACCCAAGAGUAUUUGCUGGAAUUCAACAGAGAAGUGACAGGAAACACCAAAUGUGGAGAAGGAGAAAGGAGAGACACAGCCCGCUGGUCAGGAUCAGCUGGGAGCCAGGAGUGACUUCCCAACAUAGAGGAUACAGAGAAAACUGCAGAAGACCCAGAAAAGCACAUCACGGCAGCCUAAAAGUUCCACAUCUUUCACUUGCAGAAAAGCCUUCAGAUCUGUUUUUACUUAAAGAGAAGUGACAUGUCCAACCUCCCACCGAGACAAGUGUGUCUUCUCAGAGUGUGAGGAGCACAAAGGCAUCACAGAAUCUGUGCUGGGGGAGAAGAUGCAGUUCAAGGAGGAGAAGCUGGCAGAGAAGUCGACACAAGCUGAGGAGCUCAGGUGAUACAAAGCCCUAGUUCACUCUCAGGCACUAGAGCUGACCCAGUUGAGGAAGUUACGGGAAGGGAGAGAGGCCUCCCUCUUUCUCAGUCAGCAUCUCAAGGCCCUUCUCACUGAUGAUGACCCUGACAACCACCAGGGGCAGGACCUCCGAGAGCAGCUGGCUGAGGGGCGCAGGCUGGCAGAGUGCCUUGUCCGCAAGCUCAGCCCAGGGAGGUACAGGAAGCUGAAGAAAAGGAAGUCCCUCAGAAUUCACUGGAGGAAUAUUCUGCCACUUGUUCAGUUUGCCGUGACCCUUCUGACUCCCCCCUGCCUCAGAGGUGUGCCAAAAUCACACCUGAGGAAGAGAAAGUCGACUCUGCUCUGGAUGUAGGCAGUGAAUCGCCACAUUACAAAGGGGAAGAGGAAGUGCUAAACAUUCUCCCAGAAAAUCAAAAUGAUAAUGAAGAAGAG